rnacentral:rRNA from 1 species
CAGCAGUCGCCGCGGGAAUACGAAGGGGGCUAGCGUUGCUCGGAAUUACUGGGCGUAAAGGGAGCGUAGGCGGACAUUUAAGUCAGGGGUGAAAUCCCAGAGCUCAACUCUGGAACUGCCUUUGAUACUGGGUGUCUUGAGUGUGAUAGAGGUAUGUGGAACUCCGAGUGUAGAGGUGAAAUUCGUAGAUAUUCGGAAGAACACCAGUGGCGAAGGCGACAUACUGGAUCAUUACUGACGCUGAGGCUCGAAAGCGUGGGGAGCAAACAGGAUUAGAUACCCCUGUAGUCCCUGUCUCUUAUAC